rnacentral:rRNA from 1 species
AUUGAACGCUGGCGGCAGGCCUAACACAUGCAAGUCGAGCGAGCGGCGGACGGGUGAGUAAUGCCUGGGAAUUGCCCAGUCGAGGGGGAUAACAGUUGGAAACGACUGCUAAUACCGACUACGAGUGGAUAGCCUAGGUGGGAUUAGCUAGUUGGUGAGGUAAUGGCUCACCAAGGCGACGAUCCCUAGCUGGUCUGAGAGGAUGGUCAGCAACACGGGAACUGGUACACGGUCCAGACUCCUACGGGAGGCAGCAGUGGGGAAUAUUGCACAAUGGGGGAAACCCUGAUACAGCCAGGCCGCGUGUGUGAAGAAGGCCUUCGGGUUGUAAAGCACUUUCAGCGAGGAGGCGUUACUCGCAGAAGAAGCACCGGCUAACUCCGUGCCAGCAGCCGCGGUAAUUC